GAUUUCUGGUUUGGUGCGCCUGGCCCACUGCCUUCAGGUAUGUGAGUGCCGGUGCGCGCCUGCCAUCCCUUCUAGAAAACGGUUCUGCCCUUCACUGGUGUCGGAAUCGCGAUCUAGAUCUUUUACUUUGAAAAAAUUAGAGUGUUUAAAGCAGGCUUGCGCUAUGAAUACAUUAGCAUGGAAUAAUAAUUUAGGACUUUGGUCUUAUUUUGUUGGUUUCUAGGACUAAAGUAAUGAUUGAUAGGGACAGUUGGGGGUGCUAGUAUUCAGCGGCCAGAGGUGAAAUUCUUGGAUUCGCUGAAGACUAACUUAUGCGAAAGCAUU
rnacentral:rRNA from 1 species